rnacentral:tRNA from 1 species
AGCAGUAUAGCACAGUGGAUAGAGCAUCAGUCUGGAAGUCAGAAGGUUCUGGGUUCUAAUCCCUGCUCUACCA